rnacentral:lncRNA from 1 species
AAUUUGAGCUUCAGAUUGAGGUAUAAUAGUGAUUAAUCGCCAUUAAGAAAUGGUCUACGAAUCAUAUUUUGAAGAGUGAAUGGUACAGGGAAAGGCUGAUUUCCACAUCCACAGUAUCCUUUUACAAGAAUAGAGAAUAACAUAUAAAAAUACAAGAAAGAACACAAUCAACGGCACAUAACAUAAACCAAACUGAUCCAGACACUCGAUCAACACGACAUACCUGACCCUCCAUAAACAGUCUUAUAUUCAUGGACCCAGUGUUUGAUAGGGUUUAUGGCGUCAGGGAGCUGAGGGGCAGACGCACUGAGUCGCAGAACUCUUCUCCGACGUAACAUAGAUUUCUGAAAUUGAGAAAAGAGGGGAGGGUUGAAGCAUAUCCACGCUAGGCCAGCAUCGGGAAAGGGGUGUUUUCAG